AGCAAGGUAUAAAGCAGCCCCUGGAAACCAGGCUCAUCCUACUUACCCAGCCCCAUAGCUUGCUGCUCUCCACAAAGCCAGAUCCAGUCCUCAAACACAUCAUAGCCAUUCACAGUGCCACGUCAUGACACACACACAGGUUGCUUAUGAUGUCCUGACUCCUUCUGCUCCUGGCAAAUUGCUGCCUCUCCAUUAGGAGCCAUUCAGAUGCCCACCUCUGAUACAGCCUUAUCUACUUUGACUCUCUUCCCCACUCCUCAGCCACAACUCUAAUAAAAUGACAGUAAAGGAAUGUAAAAAUUUACACACAUAAAAGAGGAUGAAGAAGAGAUAACAUGAGAAGAGAGAUAUCAACAAAAUUUCAGAAAAUGGAAAGCAGUUUCACACGUCAUUGGAUCUAUAGAGUGGAGCAAAACUGAAAUUAACCAUCUGCAGCGAUUGAAGUCAAUGAUUUGGCCUUCAAAAGCCAGAAAAAGCUCAGGAACUAGAGGCACCAGAUACCUCUGAAAAUAAAGAAUUGGAAAAGCAAGGAAAGGAUGCUCCCCUAGAGUCCCCAGAGGGAACCAGCCCUGCCUACAUAUUGAUUUCAGCUCAGUGCGUCUGUUUAGACUUCUGACGCCCAGAAUGGUAAGAUAGUAAA
rnacentral:lncRNA from 1 species